rnacentral:rRNA from 1 species
GACGAACGCUGGCGGCGUGCUUAACACAUGCAAGUCGAACGGAGUGCCUAAGAAAGAGGAUUCGUCCAAUGGAUUAGGUUACUUAGUGGCGGACUGGUGAGUAACGCGUGAGGAACCUGCCUUCCAGAGGGGGACAACAGUUGGAAACGACUGCUAAUACCGCAUGAUACGUCGAAGCCGCAUGACUUUGACGUCAAAGAUUUAUCGCUGGAAGAUGGCCUCGCGUCUGAUUAGCUAGUUGGUGGGGUAACGGCCCACCAAGGCGACGAUCAGUAGCCGGACUGAGAGGGUGGCCGGCCACAUUGGGACUGAGAUACGGCCCAG